AGUUAUGCGCAGAGGCAGUGUCGCAGCCAAUGAAGUGGCAACUGAGGAGCGACAAUUUUUAGUUGAAAACUUUUUAUUCACAAAAAUCAGCACAUUUGAGUGUUACUGCUCGAACCUUCUGUCGAGCUUGUGGGC
rnacentral:snRNA from 1 species